CAAAAUUUUAAAUAAUUGAAAUUAUAUCAAGCAUCUUUUCUGACACACUGGUAUAAAACUAGAAAUUAAUUACAUGAAAAAACCUGGAAAAUUCACAAAACAUGUAAGGAUUAAGCAGUGUGCUACUGAACAACCGAAGGGCCAAAGAAGAAAUCAAGAGGGAAAUAAAAAAAUAUCUUGAGAAAAUGAAAAUGGAAAUGAAGAUACACACAAAGCAAAAUA